rnacentral:rRNA from 1 species
CCUACGGGAGGCAGCAGUGAGGAAUAUUGGUCAAUGGGGGAAAGCCUGAACCAGCCACGUCGCGUGAGUGAAGAAGUAACUCGUGAUUGAAAGCCUUAUCAGCAGGGGAGAAAAUGACGGUACCUGAGUCGGACGCCCCGGCUACCUACGAGCCAGCAGCCGCGGUAAUACGUAGGGGGCCAGCGUUAUCCGGAUUUACUGGGUGUAAAGGGGGCGUAAACGGGUAUGCAAGUCUGGAGGGAAAGGCGGGGGGUCAACCCCCGGACUGCGGUGGAAACUGGACGGCGGGAGUGGAGGAGAGGUAAGUGGAAUGCGUAGUGUAGCGGUGAAAUGCGUAGAUAUUAGGCGGAACACCAGUGGCGAAGGCGGCUUACCGGAGUGCAACUGACGUUGAGGCUCGAAAGCGUGGGGAGCAAACAGGAUUAGAUACCCGGGUAGUC